rnacentral:rRNA from 1 species
UCCCAGUUCGGAUUGUAGUCUGCAACCCGGCUACAUGAAGCUGGAAUCGCUAGUAAUCGCGGAUCAGAAUGCCGCGGUGAAUACGUUCCCGGGUCUUGUACACACCGCCCGUCACACCAUGGGAGUCGGAAAUGCCCGAAGUCUGUGACCCAACCUCAGGGAGGGAGCAGCCGAAGGCAGGUCGGAUGACUGGGGUGAAGUCGUAACAAGGUACC